CCAAAUAACAGCAGAGCCAGCGCCAAUGAAGAGUCAUUUGUAAAGAGCAAUGUGAACAGACUCAGCAACUCAGCUUCAAAAGUGAGGAUUUCACCAGAUCCAAGUUCUACCAUCCCCUUCACAGGAGAUCGUCAAACUGAUGCUGAUAUUAUAGCUUUCAUUAGAGCUAGAAAGAACCUCUUACAUAAAAAAGGAUUGGGAGACAAGUAAACUCUGAUUAAUGCAGCAAGCUCCCAUUUCAAAACUGGACAAAGUAACCAACAUUACAACAAAUGGAAUUUUGAACUGCAGCUAUAUUUACAAGGGGGAAAAAAGAAAAAAAAAGGCUUUCUGCAAGGAAUGGCAUUCAGCCUGUGCCUUCAUUAUUUUUGCAGUGUCAAGAAAGAAAGAAAGAAAGA